GACGAACGCUGGCGGCGUGCUUAACACAUGCAAGUCGAACGGAAAGGCCCUGCUUUUGUGGGGUGCUCGAGUGGCGAACGGGUGAGUAACACGUGAGUAACCUGCCCUUGACUUUGGGAUAACUUCAGGAAACUGGGGCUAAUACCGGAGAGGAGCGCCUGCUGCAUGGUGGGGGUUGGAAAGUUUCGGCGGUUGGGGAUGGACUCGGGGCUUAUCAGCUUGUUGGUGGGGUAGUGGCUUACCAAGGCUUUGGCGGGUAGCCGGCCUGGGAGGGUGAACGGGCACCUUGGGACUGAGAUAGGGACCAGACUCGUACGGGAGGCAGCAGGGGGGAAUCUUGCACAAUGGGCGGAAGUCUGAUGCAGAAACGCCGCGUGCGGGAAGACGGCCUUCGGGUUGUAAACCGCUUUAGCCUGUGACGAAGCGUGAGUGACGGUAAUGGGUAAAGAAGCACCGGCUAACUACGUG
rnacentral:rRNA from 1 species